rnacentral:lncRNA from 10 species
GCCACCCUCGUAUGUACCCACCACGGCCCAGUCUGCCACCUUCCUCCAGGCAGAGCCUCCCACAGCUGCUGGAGCCUCCCCUAGGAGCUCCACUGGGGAGAAGCAGAGGUCCUCUCCUACCCCUUAGCCCUGGGGUCUGGAAUUCAACCCUCCCCCACUCUGUUCCCAGUUGCCCUCUGUUUGACAAGAGGAGCUUGGAAACCACCUCGAUCCAGUCCUCAAACUCCCCUUCCCCUGUGCCGCUCUGAAUUCCAGGCUAUCCCCACGAUAUAGCCAAAGCACCCUGGCUUGCUUUGAAAGUGUCUGGGGAGUUUUUGAUCCCCUGAAAAAAAAAGGCAUUUAUUAUCAGAGACUGUUUGUACCAUAUUUUAGUGUCCUCAAGAGACAAAGAGAAUUCUCUCUGCAGUUGAGUAAGCUUCAAAAUAGAAAAUCGGAGGGUGGGGUAGGUGACGGCCAAAAAGCAAUCAUUUAUCAACCAGCGGGGAAGCAGGGACCGUAAACCUCUUUGGUGGCUGCAGGUUUCAUCACAGCCUGACUUAUGCACCUGACUCUGGAGAGGAGGUGAGAAUGGGGUGUGCAGAAGUCAGUGGGUCCCGCAGUCUUCCCUCCUUCAGCGUUGGUGGCCACAGUCUGUCUGUGGUCACUUGCCCCCACAGCCCCCUGCUCUGCCUUCCAUUUAUCGAGACCUUUCCCUUGCAUUUGCGGAGGGGGAAGAAGCAGAGGUUAGGUUGCUGACAUUCUGCACACCCCACAACUCCCCAGAGAAAUCCUGGGGCUGAUCAGUAGAAUCCAGCCACCUUUCACUGGCAGAAGGCACAGUGUUUUUCUCCCUGGAGGUUUUUAACCUGUUACUUCAUGUAAGCCUCCUAUUGUCAAAUAGAGAGAAACUGAGGGGCUUUGGAAGCAAACAGACUUGGGAAAUUCUUGGCAAAUUCUUAACUCUAUCUCUUUGUGGGUGACCUGGGAUAUGUUCCCGGUGUCCUCAGCCUCUGAGUGCUCUUGGAAGAUUAAAUGGGAUAAACCAUGUGGAGUGACCAGUGCGAGGCCCAGCAUGUUCUAGAAGCUCAAAGGAAUGGCUACCACAAGUCAAGCCUAUUCUAGAUACCGAGGAAGUUGUCCACAGAGGGAAAAAAUUAUACCAAGAAGCAAGAGAGCCUGUUUUCUGACCCCCUCUCAGUCACUUGGUAAUUAUUAUUCCUCAAUCUUCACAUCUGAGGAUAUAACUAUUUUACCUGACUGAAGACAGAAGGGGUAUACCAGAUGGUUUCACCAAGAUCCAUCAAAUUCUAGUCAAAGAUUCUUCCAUUUUAAUUAAGCCCAUUGCUUCCUGUUUGAUCUUCUAAGGGCAGAGAAUAACAAUGUAAGCUCUGACCAUUUAAAAAAAUCAUCAUUCCUGCUCUAAUCAUCUCAAACCAUUCAUUCACUGGUCAUCCCGGGAAGGUCAACAGCAAUCUCCGAAGAGUCUGGUACCACGUCCUCCUCACAAGUCACUGCUAUAAGACUGACACUUAUCAAAAUGUCUGCCCAUCUCCACAGAGACGCUCCUAAUGUGCCUUGUUUCUGCUUUAUGACAAUGACCUUGGUUACAGCCAGUUGGUCCAGGAAUAGGCACCUGACCCAGUCUGGGCCAAUCUGGCCCCCUCUCUUGGGAAUGGUGACCAAAAGAGUCUGUCUCAGCAGAAACUGGAAAUGUAACAUAAACAGUCAUAAGCCAGGGGCCUGCUGGCAGUGCCAUGGGGGCUAAAGAACAGAAAAGGCUAGUCUACAAAGAAAGAAGAGAAUGAAAUUGAUGUCCAAGAAAACUGGAUUCAAGACACCAGAGAGAAAAUGAGCCAACCCAUUCACACUUCCAGGCCCUUUCUGAGGCAUGACAAUGUGGCAGAAUGUAUUUUCCAAUAUUUUCCAUCCCAUACGCUCUUCCAGAACCUUGCCACUGCAUCAAAAGAUGGUGUCUAUAUCCCUUCCGCCUGAAACGGUGAGCCUUUGUGACUGCUCACACUUCUAGGAUGUGGCAGAAGUGACGCUGUGUGAUUGCUGAGGCUAGAUCAUAAAAGGCAACACAGCUUGCACACAGCUCUAUCUCUUUGGACACUCAUCCUUGGAAUGGCAGCCACCAUGCUCUGAGGAAGCACAGGUCACAUGGAGCGCCCCACUUGGAGACAAAUGGAGGCCCCCCAGCCCUCAGUGCUGGCUGAGCAACCAGCAGACAGCCAGCACCAACCUGCCACCAGGGUUGAAGAAAUGUUGGAAAUGAGUUCCAGGGAAAUCAAUACAUUGCAACAGCCUUGGCAUAUAUGGCAAUGAGACUCGACCCAGUAUCCUCUCCAAGGCUGAAGAAAUGGCAGAGCAAAAAGCCAUUGCUAUACCACUCUCCUGACCUGGCCAUGGAGUAAGGACUAAAAUGAAGGCCAAUAUUAAUAUGCCGCCUUGAUAUCUGGUGAGACUGGGAAGAUGUUGCAUGGCCUAACCACAAGUUCCUCUCCCCACUCCUAUGGGAAAGAUCCCCCAGCCAGACAACCCUCCUUGGCAAAGGGACCAGGUGCAGUUCCUGCUUAUCCUUGAGUAGUGGGUUUCAUUUCUCUGCCAACUAUGGACUUAUUCAAACAAACCAAUCACAUCCCCUCAUGGAAACAAGGGGACACCUCACCCUCUUGAUACUACAAAACCUGACGCCCACAGCCCUGUUUGUUACUUCUGUACCUGCCUCAGCAUAACCCCUGCACUCAGCUGCUGUUGGGAUCAUCUGCCCAGGGUCAGGUGCUAUGUAUUUGGCCAUUGCAGUAACCUUAGUGUGGGAGUCCCCUUCUCACCCAUUGGUUGAAUAGGAGGCAAUUAAACCACUGGCCUUUCAAAAAGGUUCUGGUGCUUCCCAUCCAGCAGCCUUGGUGGUAUUGAGCAUCAGGAUUCAUUGGCUCUGCAGUCCAUUCAUUCAACAACAGUUAUUGCGUAGGUUUUGGUGCCAGGCACUGUCCUCCAGGGCCAUAUGCCCAGUUGCUGAGACCUUGUCCUUGACCUGUUGUGGACAUUAGUCAGCAACAUUUACUGACAACACACACCCACCCAAUUCCCAAUCAUUGGGAAGCAAUUGGCCUAACAAAACAGUCCUCCGCUGUGGGAUGUGUAUGGCAUGGGGCUGCAGUAAGGUCCUUGGUGCCAUAUUUAAGCUUCUACAUGUUCUAAUCCUGGUUCUUUCUUCCCCUCUAGAAGGCUGGAAACUUUUCAAAGAAGAAGAGGACCUCCUUCAGGAGCAAUGGAGGGAUCCAAAAGCCAACACUGGAAGAUGUGGAUGGUGCUUCCAGCUCAAGGACGUGGCCUCCAGCAAGUCCCUGAACAUCUUUAAGCCCUCACCUGUCAAACAGGGUUGGUGAUUACUUUUUUUUUUUUUUUUUGAGAUGGAGUCUCACUCUGCCUCCUAGGCUGGAGUGUGGUGGUGUGAUCCAGGCUCACUGCAACCUCCACCUCCCAGGUUCAAGCAAUUCUCCUGCUUCAGCACCACCCCCACCACCCCCACCCACCCCACCAAGCAGCUGGGAUUACAGGCAUGUGCUACCACGCCUGGCUAACUUUUAUAUUUUUUUAAGUAGAAACGGGUUUUUGCCAUGUUGGCCAGGCUGGUCUUGAACUCCUGACCUCAAGCAAUCCACCCACCUUGGCCUCCCAAAGUGCUGGGAUUAUAGGCAUGAGCCACCACGCCUAGCCAAUGAUCACAUUUUCCUACCUAACUCCCUGGGCUGCUGGGAUAGCAGAUGAGAAUGGGUGAGAGGUUCUUUGGAAAGUGAAGGUGGUGCUGUCCAGCAGCUAUGUCAGACUGCUAUGGUCUGAGUGUUUGUGUCCCACUACCCUGAGACAGAUAUGUUGAAAUCCCAAGCCGCAAUGUGAUGGUAUUCACCUUUGGGAAGUGAUUAGGUCAUGAGGGCUCUGCUUCAUGGGGUUAGUGCCCUUAUGAAAGAGGCCCAAGCGGGCCGGGCGCGGUGGCUCAUGCCUAUAAUUGCAGCACUUUGGGAGGCCAAGGCGGGCGGAUCACCUGAGGUCAGAAGUUUGAGACCAGCCUAACCGACAUGGAGAAACAACGUCUCUACUAAAAAUACAAAAUUAGCCGGGCGUGGUGGCGCAUGCCUGUAAUCCUAGCUACUCGGGAGGCUGAGGCAGGAGAAUCACUUGAACCCAGGUGGCACAGGUUGCGGCGAGCCGAGAUUCCACCAUUGCACUCCAGCCAGGGCAACAAGAGUGAAACUCUGUCUCAAAAAGAAAGAAAAAGAAAAAGAAAGAGGCCCAAGAGAGCUCAUUCACUCCUUUCAUCACAUGAGGACACAGCAAAAUGAUGGCUGUCUAUGAACCAGGAAGCAGGUCCUCACCAGACACCGGAUCUGCUGAUGUCUUGACAUUGGGCUUCCCAGCCUCCAGCACUGUGAGAAAUAAAUGUCUGAUGUUUAGAAGCCACCCAGUUUAUGGUAUUUUGUUAUAGUGGCCCGAAUGGUCUAAGACAGGCACCCAGUAGAAGGCAGCCCCUGUGUGUGGGUAGGUUCCACACAAAGGCAAGCCUAGCCCCAAGGUCGCCACCAACAAACCCCAGAGCCAUUUUUCCAUGGGGUCUGAAAACUGCACCAUUAGAUGCUGCUUAGUUUAGGACUUUAUAUUGGGUUGAAU